AUUGAACGCUGGCGGCAGGCCCAACACAUGCAAGUCGAGCGAGCGGCGGACGGGUGAGUAAUGUAUGGGGACUGCCCGAUAGAGGGGGAUAACUACUGGAAACGGUGGCUAAUACCGCAUACUAUCGGAUAACCCAUAUGGGAUUAGCUCGUAGGCGGGGUAACGGCGCACCUAGGCGACGAUCUCUAGCUGGUCUGAGCGGAUGAUCAGCCAAACUGGGAAUGAGACACGGCCCAGACUCCUACGGAGGCAGCAGUGGGGAAUAUUGCACAAGUGGCGCAAGCCUGAUGCAGCCAUGCCGCGUGUAUGAAGAAGGCCUGAGGGUUGUAAAGUACUUUCAGCGGGUAGGCGUUACCCGCAGAAGAGGCACCGGCUAACUCCGUGCCAGCAGCCGCGGUAAUUC
rnacentral:rRNA from 1 species